rnacentral:rRNA from 1 species
AGAGUUUGAUCCUGGCUCAGGACGAACGCUGGCGGCGUGGAUUAGGCAUGCAAGUCGAGCGACGGUGUUCCUUCGGGAGCAUACGGAGCGGCGAACGGGUGAGUAACACGUGAACAAUCUGUCCCUACAUUCCGGAUAAUUGGGAGAAAUUCCUUGUAAUACGGGGGAGGAUCAUCUGAGGGCAUUCUCGGGUGAGGGAAGGCGCAAGCCGUGCAGGGAGGAGUUCGCGGCCUAUCAGGUAGUUGGUGAGGUAACGGCUCACCAAGCCGACGACGGGUAGCUGGUCUGAGAGGAUGGUCAGCCACAUUGGAACUGAGACACUGUCCAGACUCCUACGGGAGGCAGCAGUAAGGAAUAUUGGUCAAUGGAGGCAACUCUGAACCAGCCAUGCCGCGUGAAGGAUGAAGGUCCUCUGGAUUGUAAACUUCUUUUAUGUGGGAAGAAAUGCAUUCUUUAUAGAGUGUUUGACGGUACCAUAGGAAUAAGCACCGGCUAACCCCGUGCCAGCAGCCGCGGUAAUACGGAGGGUGCGAGCGUUAUCCGGAUUCACUGGGUUUAAAGGGUGCGUAGGUGGGGAAGUAAGUCAGUGGUGAAAUCUCCGUGCUUAACAUGGAAACUGCCAUUGAUACUAUUUUUCUUGAAUUUUCCGGAGGUUAGCGGAAUAUGUCAUGUAGCGGUGAAAUGCUUAGAUAUGACAUAGAACACCAAUUGCGAAGGCAGCUAACUACAGGGAUAUUGACACUGAGGCACGAAAGCGUGGGGAUCAAACAGGAUUAGAUACCCCCGUAGUCC